UGCCUUGGAGACAACCUCAACCUCUGCAAGGGAAAGACAACUGUCGUUGAGGGCGUCUUAUCUUUGGCAAACUGCACCGUCAGUGGCGUAAUCAGGAACAUGAGUCCCUUGAGAGCCCUAAUCACAAUUAAAGAUCUGCUGAUUGCCCUCCUUGGCAAACUUAUAC
rnacentral:lncRNA from 1 species